rnacentral:misc_RNA from 1 species
GGACUUCCGGCAAUUUCUGUCCCUGUAAGUUAUAUUCAUCUUUUUCCUCUUAGGCAGUUAUCUGAGAGUAAAUCUCAUUGAAGGAUAUGGAAUAGAAGGACAAGAACCUGCAUGUUGAUAAUAUACAAUCAGUGCUCCUAUUCUAAGCAUUUCAACUGUUGGUUCUUACUGCAUGCUGGUUUACUGUCGAGGACCUGCUCACCUUCUUUCCAAUUAAUAUUGACACAGCAGUAAAAAUGAAUGACUGAAAACUCUCUCUCUUUACAACUUCCUCCAUUUGUAUUUGCACAGCCUAUGUUCGUUCCCUUCAAAACUAAGAUGUCUCUUUGAUUGAUGGCUACCACCAUCGGAUUCCAAAACUCGUGGAUGUCAAAUAUCACUC